CCAAUAGCGUAUAUUAAAGUUGUUGCAGUUAAAAAGCUCGUAGUUGAAUUUCGGGAUCAAUAUAUUGGUCAUGCUUAGGUAUGUACUGGUAUUAUUGAUUUCUCCCUUCUGAAGAACCAUGAUGUCAUUAAUUUGAUGUCGUGGGGAAUCAGGACUGUUACUUUGAAAAAAUUAGAGUGUUUAAAGCAGGCUUUCGCUUGAAUACAUUAGCAUGGAAUAAUGAAAUAGGACGUUUGAUUCUAUUUUGUUGGUUUCUAGGAUCGACGUAAUGAUUAAUAGGGAUAGUUGGGGGCAUUAGUAUUCAAUUGUCAGAGGUGAAAUUCUUGGAUUUAUUGAAGACUAACUACUGCGAAAGCAUUUGCCAAGGAUGUUUUCAUUAAUCAAGAACGAAAGUUAGGGGAUCGAAGACGAUCAGAUACCGUCGUAGUCUUAACCAUAAACUAUGCCGACUAGGGAUCGGAUGAUGUUAAUUUUUUAAUGACUCAUUCAGCGCCUUACG
rnacentral:rRNA from 1 species